rnacentral:rRNA from 1 species
ACGUAGGGGGCAAGCGUUAUCCGGAAUUAUUGGGCGUAAAGAGCGCGUAGGCGGCUUUUUAAGUGUGAGGUGAAAGGCAAUAGCUUAACUAUUGAAUGCCUUGCGAACUGGAAGACUUGAGUGCAGGAGAGGAAAGUGGAAUUCCUAGUGUAGCGGUGAAAUGCGUAGAUAUUAGGAGGAACACCAGUGGCGAAGGCGACUUUCUGGACUGUAACUGACGCUGAGGCGCGAAAGCGUGGGGAGCAAACAG